CUUCCUAUGAAGAUUAAAGCACCUUGCUCCAACCAGAGAGCAGAUGGGAGAGGCACAGGUAACAAAAUUGCUUAAAUAUCAAUUCAUUAUCCUAUUCUCAAGCUAAGCGUUUGCAACGCAAGUGCUCCAACCGAGGUAAACAGAGAAGACCAAGAAGCAAAGAUAACCUAGGGAAUCUGUACAUGUCUAAGAUCUUUUUGGUAGAUGCGUUCCUGAAAACUGACAAGCUCUUGAAGAAGAAGAGUCACACAUUCAUCAAUCUCUUUACAAAGAACCUGAUUGCAGUACCUGUAAAGGAAACCAAAACCAGUUCUCAUCCUUAACCUCUACUAUAAGCCGGUACUUAACAAGGAGAAUUGGUCUAAUUUCUAGCCUAAAACU